rnacentral:rRNA from 1 species
AUUGAACGCUGGCGGCAUGCCUUACACAUGCAAGUCGAACGGUAACAGGUCUACGGAUGCUGACGAGUGGCGAACGGGUGAGUAAUACAUCGGAACGUGCCCGAUCGUGGGGGAUAACGAAGCGAAAGCUUUGCUAAUACCGCAUACGAUCUACGGAUGAAAGCAGGGGACCGCAAGGCCUUGCGCGAACGGAGCGGCCGAUGGCAGAUUAGGUAGAUGGUGGGAUAAAAGCUUACCAAGCCGACGAUCUGUAGCUGGUCUGAGAGGACGACCAGCCACACUGGGACUGAGACACGGCCCAGACUCCUACGGGAGGCAGCAGUGGGGAAUUUUGGACAAUGGGCGAAAGCCUGAUCCAGCCAUGCCGCGUGCAGGAUGAAGGCCUUCGGGUUGUAAACUGCUUUUGUACGGAACGAAAAGACUCUGGUUAAUACCUGGGGUCCAUGACGGUACCGUAAGAAUAAGCACCGGCUAACUACGUGCCAGCCGCCGCAGUAACAC